GCGCGUAAAUUGCCCGAAUCCUGACACAGGGAGGUAGUGACAAGAAAUAACAAUACAGGGCUCUUCGAGUCUUGUAAUUGGAAUGAGUACAAUUUACAUCUCUUCACGAGGAUCAAUUGGAGGGCAAGUCUGGUGCCAGCAGCCGCGGUAAUUCCAGCUCCAAUAGCGUAUAUUAAAGUUGUUGCAGUUAAAACGCUCGUAGUCGGAUUUCGGGGCGGGCCCGCCGGUCUGCCGAUGGGUAUGCACUGGCGGGCGCGUCCUUCCUCCCGGAGACGGCUGCUACUCUUAACUGAGCGGUGGCCGGAGACGGGAUAUUUACUUUGAAAAAAUCAGAGUGUUUCAAGCAGGCCGUCGCUCUUGCAUGGAUUAGCAUGGGAUAAUGAAAUAGGACUCUGGUGCUAUUUUGUUGGUUUCGAGCACCGGAGUAAUGAUUAACAGGGACAGUCAGGGGCACUCGUAUUCC
rnacentral:rRNA from 1 species